CUUUGCAAUUAAAAACAGGUUUGGCUUCCCUCUGCAUCAAUAAGGCAACGUCAAAGCAACAUUCAUCCCGAAAAUGUUCCCUUGUGAAUUCAAAUUAACUGAUGCAUUCAACUGUUAGAUCCCACGAUGUUGGGAGAAAUCACUACUUUGCAGCUAAAAUCCUUCCCCUCACUGUGCAAUGAAGAGCUUAGAAGGAUCCUAUGAAAGUCAAUCCCAGCUGCAGUGAAAUCACCCAAUUUCUACAAGGAUAUUAAAUAUAGUUCCCUGUGCUAUACAGUAGGACCUUGUUGUUUAUCCAUCCUAUAUAUAAUAAUGUGCAGAGAGGCUUUCAAGAUGGCAGAAGAAUAAGACAUGGAGAUCACCUCCUUCCCCACAAAUACAUCAGAAUUACAUCUACAUGUGGAACAACUCCUACAGCACACCUACUGAACGCUGGCAGAAGACCUCAGACCUCCCAA